rnacentral:rRNA from 1 species
GCUGGUCACAACGGGCAAGAACAUAAGCUAGUAACUUACACACUUCCCUAGACUAUGUUACUACCUCCAUAGUGGGUAGGAACAUCUAUGUAGUGUCAUGCAACAAUGUAUUUAUUAGGUUAUAGACUCAUUGUUUCUUGGAGUGUGUGAUGUUCCGGUAACUUAGCUAGUUACCACAAGCACCUCUCUCUUCAUUAAAUAUGUGCCACAUAAGCAAAGUUGUAUUGGAGUGUAUGAUGUUACUCCUAAGUUCCUCCCCAUUGU